GACAGAGGGGGCAAGCGUUGCUCGGAAUCACUGGGCGUAAAGGGCGCGUAGGCGGGAUGGUAAGUCGGUCGUGAAAGCCCUCGGCUCAACCGAGGAGGGUCGGCCGAUACUGCCAUUCUUGAGGGAUGCAGAGGAGACUGGAAUUCCCGGUGUAGCGGUGAAAUGUGUAGAGAUCGGGAGGAACACCGGUGGCGAAGGCGGGUCUCUGGGCAUUUCCUGACGCUGAGGCGCGAAAGCGUGGGGAGCAAACGGGAUUAGAAACCCCCGUAGUCC
rnacentral:rRNA from 1 species